UCAAACUUUUCAGCUGCAUCAAGCAUCAAACAUGUUGAAUUUCAUCUAGUUUGAACAUCAAUGCACAACAUACUCUUGCAAGAUAUAUUCUCCUCCUCAUUGCACUUCUUAAAUUUACCAAGUCUAGCAGGAGAAGAUCUAACAAACCUAACGGCAUUUCGAAUUCGAAUCAAUGUAUCAUUCACAUCUUUCAAACCAUCAUAUACAAUUAAAUUCAAUAUAUGUGCACAACACCUGACGUGCACGAAAUCCCCAUCCAACACAAAUGCAUGUUUGAAACGUUUCUUUAGAUUGAUAAGCAAUAAUUGUAUCAUUUGAUGAAACAUUAUCAACGGUUAAGGUCAAAAUCCUAUAAAUAUCCUAAUGUUUCAAACAUUUUCCACUUCUUUUCCUAUUGUUUCCCCUUUGUGAUUUUCAAUUUGAGAGAUUAAUUAUUCUCUUAUGAAGCUUCCAAUUUCUAUCAACAAAGUGUGUAGUAAAAACCAUAUAAUUAACAUUUUGAAACGAUGUCCAAGUAUCUGUCGUAAGUGAGACUCUACAUUCUUCAUUCACAAAAAUAUCUCUCAACUGUUCUUCCAAGUUAUCAUAUAUUCCUAAAAUAUUUCUAGCAAUUGUAGUUCGAGAAGGAAUAACAAAUCUUGGUUCUACUAACAUCAAAGACCCUUCCACAAACCUCCUAAAUCCCUCAUUCUCCAUAAAUCUAAAGGACAACUUGUCAAUUAUGAUCAUCUCAACGAUUAAUCUUCGAGCAUUCUCAAUGGUAAAUAUCUUAUAAUUAAUUUUUUUACCAUCAUUGUCUUUAUUCUAAAAUGAUAACUUUGUUUGAGUCAGAUCUACUUUAUUGUCUUUCAAUUGAAAAAGAUUCUUUUUACAGUAAUGUUCAAGAUGUGUUCUCAUAGUUGAAUUUCCAUUCCUUCUAGGAUGACAUGCAUACAUCGCAUCACAAUAAUGACAUUUAACAUGUGAAUCAUCAUCACUAUAUCCAUAGCCUUUAGUAAAAUGAUCCCAUACCAUAGACAUAUUUUUCCUCUUCUUUUGAGAUGGUUGGAGUUCUGGUGGUGGCAUGACAACCUCAACAACGACAUCAUUUACGUUCACACUAGAACAAUUGUUGUUAUUGUUCCUGGUGUCUAAUUUAAUGUCUUUGUUACCAUCGUUAUUGUCAUUGGUCAAACUUGUCUGACAUUUUGCCUAGC
rnacentral:lncRNA from 1 species